UACGUAGGGGGCAAGCGUUGUCCGGAAUCAUUGGGCGUAAAGAGCGUGUAGGCGGCCCGGUAAGUCCGCUGUGAAAGUCCAGGGCUCAACCCUGGGAUGCCGGUGGAUACUGUCGGGCUCGAGUCCGGAAGAGGAGUGUGGAAUUCCUGGUGUAGCGGUGAAAUGCGCAGAUAUCGGGAGGAACACCAAUGGCGAAGGCAGCACUCUGGGACGUGACUGACGCUGAGACGCGAAAGCGUGGGGAGCAAACAGG
rnacentral:rRNA from 1 species